rnacentral:rRNA from 1 species
CUGGCGGCGUGCUUAACACAUGCAAGUCGAACGAUGAAGAGCAGCUUGCUGCUUGGAUUAGUGGCGCACGGGUGAGUAAUAUAUAGGUAAUGUGCCUCUUAGUCUGGGAUAGCCAUUGGAAACGAUGAUUAAUACUGGAUACUCCUUCUAACUCUAAUGUUAGUCGGGAAAGUUUUUCGCUAAGAGAUCAGCCUAUAUCCCAUCAGUUAGUUGGUAAGGUAACGGCUUACCAAGGCAAUGACGGGUAGCGGGUUUGAGAGGAUGAUCCGCCACACUGGUACUGAGACACGGACCAGACUCCUACGGGAGGCAGCAGUGAGGAAUAUUGCACAAUGGGGGAAACCCUGAUGCAGCAACGCCGCGUGGAGGAUGACGCAUUUCGGUGUGUAAACUCCUUUUAUAUGUCAAGAAAAUGACGGUAGCAUAUGAAUAAGCACCGGCUAACUCCGUGCCAGCAGCCGCGGUAAUACGGAGGGUGCAAGCGUUACUCGGAAUCACUGGGCGUAAAGGACGCGUAGGCGGAUUGGAAAGUCAGAUGUGAAAUCCUACAGCUUAACUGUAGAACUGCAUUUGAAACUUCUAAUCUAGAGUAUGGGAGGGGGAGAUGGAAUUAGUGGUGUAGGGGUAAAAUCCGUAGAUAUCACUAGGAAUACCGAAAGCGAAGGCGAUCUCCUGGAACAUUACUGACGCUAAGGCGUGAAAGCGUGGGGAGCAAACAGGAUUAGAUACCCUGGUAGUCCACGCCCUAAACGAUGAACACUAGUCGUCGGGAUGCUUGUCAUCUCGGUGAUGCACUUAACAGAUUAAGUGUUCCGCCUGGGGAGUACGG